AUCCAGCUGAUGAGUCCCAUAUAGAACGAAACGCAAAUCUUGGAU
rfam:Schistosoma margrebowiei strain Zambia genome assembly, scaffold: SMRZ_scaffold0002757